rnacentral:rRNA from 1 species
UGGGGAAUUUUGGACAAUGGGGGAAACCCUGAUCCAGCCAUCCCGCGUGUGCGAUGAAGGCCUUCGGGUUGUAAAGCACUUUUGGCAGGAAAGAAACGUCGCGGGUUAAUACCCCGCNAAACUGACGGUACCUGCAGAAUAAGCACCGGCUAACUACGUGCCAGCAGCCGCGGUAAUACGUAGGGUGCAAGCGUUAAUCGGAAUUACUGGGCGUAAAGCGUGCGCAGGCGGUUCGGAAAGAAAGAUGUGAAAUCCCCAGAGCUUAAACUUUGGAACUGCAUUUUUAACUACCGGGCUAGAGUGUGUCAGAGGGAGGUGGAAUUCCGCGUGUAGCAGUGAAAUGCGUAGAUAUGCGGAGGAACACCGAUGGCGAAGGCAGCCUCCUGGGAUAACACUGACGCUCAUGCACGAAAGCGUGGGGAGCAAACAGGAUUAGAUACCCUGGUAGUCCAACGCCCUAAACGAUGUCAACUAGCUGUUGGGGCCUUCGGGCCUUGGUAG